GAUGAAGAACGUAGCGAAAUGCGAUAAGUAAUGCGAAUUGCAGAAUUCAGUGAAUCAUCGAAUCUUUGAACGCACAUUGCGCCCGCCAGUAUUCUGGCGGGCAUGCCUGUUCGAGCGUCAUUUCAACCAUCAAGCCCCCGGCUUGUGUUGGGGACCUGCGGCUGCCGCAGGCCCUGAAAACCAGUGGCGGGCUCGCUGUCACACCGAGCGUAGUAGAUUUUCAUCUCGCUCAGGGCGUGCUGCGGGUUCCGGCCGUAAAAAGCCUUAUUUACCCAAGGUUGACCUCGGAUCAGGUAGGAAGACCCGCUGAACUUAAGCAUAUCAAUAAGCGGAGGA
rnacentral:misc_RNA from 1 species